GGCGACCGCGUUGCAGCAGCGGCGGGUAGGCGGGGGGGGGCGGGCGGGUUUGGAAUGAUUGGGCGUAAAGGGGGGGUAGGGGGCCGACCGAGUCGGAGGUGAAAGCCCUCGGCUCAACUGAGGAACUGCCUCCGAUACUGUUCGGCUUGAGUCCCGGAGAGGGUAGUGGAAUUCCCGGUGUAGCGGUGAAAUGCGUAGAGACCGGGAAGAACACCAGUGGCGAAGGCGGCUACCUGGACGGGUACUGACGCUGAAGCGCGAAAGCUAGGGGAGCAAACAGGAUUAGAUACCCUGGUAGUC
rnacentral:rRNA from 1 species